rnacentral:rRNA from 1 species
CACGUAGGCACCAAGCGUUGUCCGGAUUUAUUGGGCGUAAAGAGCUCGUAGGCGGUUCGAUAAGUCGGGUGUGAAAACUUUGGGCUCAACCCAAAGCGUGCAUUCGAUACUGUUGUGACUAGAGUUCGGUAGGGGAGUGGGGAAUUCCUAGUGUAGCGGUGAAAUGCGCAGAUAUUAGGAGGAGCACCGGUGACGAAGGCGGGUCUCUGGGCAGGAACUGACGCUGAGGAGCGAAAGCGUGGGGAGCGAACAGG